UUCAGACUUACUUUUCCCCUUUGUUCCUGCUGCCACAUGCAAACAUGCGAGCCGGUCCCUGCCUCAGCGUUAAUUAACAACACCUGGAUUGGAUCGAUUGAAGACUGAAGCGCCAUUUUGGCUUCUUCCUCCCCCUCUGUUUGAGUACCAGCUCCUAAGCAUUUGACCAGUUCGCUGUCCAAGACAUUAAGGGGAAUAACUACAUACAUUAUACUAUGUGAGAAGCCGUUUUCACCGAGCUGUAAACUAAUAUCAAAGUUAAUUUCUGUAAAUAAGAGUGUGUGGAGGGGGACGAGUCGGACGACCUAUGAGGACAUCGUGUGGAUAAACCACGCACUGCUUCAGGAACAAGGCAGGCCUACUGAUGUGUCACCCCAUUUUUAUAUAUCCUUGGAUGUGUGUCUUCUGUCCUCCAGCUUCUUCUUCUUCAGCAACAAGAGGAUGGACCUGUGUGCCACGCAGUCGUAUGUUCAACUGGACUUCUGCCCGCUCGUCCACGACUUGGUCUUUAUCUACGUCUGUUUUCUCUGUGACACUGCCCCUUCCCUUCAUUUGUAUCUUUUACAUCUCAACACCCCGUCACAGUCUCGUCAUUUCAUCUCAUUUCCUCUGCACUCAUUGCAGUCUUUCUUUUUCUAUAAAUAACAUGAUGGUAAUCACAAUAGUUUGCCUUGAAUGAGUUGGAUAGUUGCCCCAGUCUGCAGUCAAGACAAGGUUCAAAGUUAAGUACCAAUACGCUGCAAAAAAACCAAGCCCUUUCUUAUCGUGGUGAUAUGAGUCACUGUCACUGAGAUGCCUAAUUUUAGUCCUAUUACAGAUGUAAAAAUCUUUGUUGUUCCUAUUGUGUUUUUGCAAGACUCAGCUCUGAUAGAAAAUGCUGAGUAAGUUUAAUAAACAUUCAGAUUUA